GAUGAAGAACGCAGCGAAAUGCGAUAGGUAAUGUGAAUUGCAGAAUUCAGUGAAUCAUCGAAUCUUUGAACGCACAUUGCGCCCGCUAGUAUUCUGGCGGGCAUGCCUGUUCGAGCGUCAUUUCAACCAUCAAGCCCUGUUUAGGCUUGCGUUGGGGCCCUGCGGCUGCCGCAGCCCCCUAAAUGCAGUGGCGGGCUCGUUGUCACUCCGAGCGCAGUAGCGUAUCUCGCUCUGGGCGUGGCGGCGGGUGCUAGCCGUGAAACACCCACUAAGGUUGACCUCGGAUCAGGUAGGAAUACCCGCUGAACUUAAGCAUAUCAAUAAGCGGAGGA
rnacentral:misc_RNA from 1 species